UACGUAGAUUGGUACCUAUCA
rnacentral:piRNA from 1 species